rnacentral:rRNA from 1 species
UACGUAGGGGGCAAGCGUUGUCCGGAUUUAUUGGGCGUAAAGAGCGUGUAGGCGGCCACACAGGUCAGCUGUGAAAACUCGAGGCUCAACCUCGAGACGUCGGUUGAAACCGUAUGGCUAGAGUCCGGAAGAGGAGAGUGGAAUUCCCGGUGUAGCGGUGAAAUGCGCAGAUAUCGGGAAGAACACCCGUGGCGAAGGCGGCUCUCUGGGACGGUACUGACGCUGAGACGCGAAAGCGUGGGGAGCAAAUGGG